rnacentral:rRNA from 1 species
GACGAACGCUGGCGGCGUGCUUAACACAUGCAAGUCGAACGGAAAGGCCCUGCUUUUGUGGGGUGCUCGAGUGGCGAACGGGUGAGUAACACGUGAGUAACCUGCCCUUGACUUUGGGAUAACUUCAGGAAACUGGGGCUAAUACCGGAUAGGAGCUCCUGCUGCAUGGUGGGGGUUGGAAAGUUUCGGCGGUUGGGGAUGGACCCGCGGCUUAUCAGCUUGUUGGUGGGGUAGUGGCUUACCAAGGCUUUGACGGGUAGCCGGCCUGAGAGGGUGACCGGCCACAUUGGGACUAGGAUACGGCCCAGACUCCUACGGGAGGCAGCAGUGGGGAAUAUUGCACAAUGGGCGGAAGCCUGAUGCGGCAACGCCGCGUGCGGGAUGACGGCCUUCGGGUUGUAAACCGCUUUCGCCUGUGACGAAGCGUGAGUGACGGUAAUGGGUAAAGAAGCACCGGCUAACUACGUG